rnacentral:rRNA from 1 species
UACGUAGGUCCCAAGCAUUAUCCGGAAUUACUGGGCGUAAAGAGUUGCGUAGGUGGUUUUUCAAGCGAAAAGUGAAAGCGUACGGCUCAACCGUAUACACAUUUUUUGAACUGUUAAACUAGAGGGCGAGAGAGGUUAUUGGAAUUUCUUGUGUAGGAGUGAAAUCCGUAGAUAUAAGAAGGAACACCGAUGGCGUAGGCAGAUAACUGGCUCGCACCUGACACUAAGGCACGAAAGCGUGGGUAGCAAACGGG